rnacentral:rRNA from 1 species
GAUGAACGCUGACAGAAUGCUUAACACAUGCAAGUCAACUUGAACUUCGGUUUGUGUGUCGGACGGUUGAGUUACGCGUAAAGAACUUGCCUCACAGCUAGGGACAACAUUUGGAACCGACUGCUAAUACCUGAUAUUAUGAUUUUAGGGCUUCCUAGAAUUAUGACAGCUAUAUGCGCUGUGAGAGAGCUUUGCGUCCCGUUAGCUAGUUGGAGAGGUAACGGAUCACCAAGGCGAUGAUGGGUAGCCGGCCUGAGAGGGUGAACGGCCAAAAGGGGACGGAGACACGGCCCGUACUCCUACGGGAGGCAGCAGUGGGGAAGAUUGGACAAUGGAGCAAGAGUGUGAUCGAGAAAUUCCGUGUGCACGAUGAAGUUUUUCGGGAUGUAAAGGGCUUUCAGUGGGGAAGAAAAAAAUGACGGUACCAACAGAAGAAGUGACGGCUAAAUACGUG